GACGAACGCUGGCGGCGCGCCUAACACAUGCAAGUCGAACGAGAGAUGAGGAGCUUGCUCUUCAAAUCGAGUGGCGAACGGGUGAGUAACGCGUGAGGAACCUGCCUCAAAGAGGGGGACAACAGUUGGAAACGACUGCUAAUACCGCAUAAGCCCACGGCUCGGCAUCGAGCAGAGGGAAAAGGAGUGAUCCGCUUUGAGAUGGCCUCGCGUCCGAUUAGCUAGUUGGUGAGGUAACGGCCCACCAAGGCGACGAUCGGUAGCCGGACUGAGAGGUUGAACGGCCACAUUGGGACUGAGACACGGCCCAGACUCCUACGGGAGGCAGCAGUGGGGAAUAUUGCACAAUGGGGGAAACCCUGAUGCAGCGACGCCGCGUGGAGGAAGAAGGUCUUCGGAUUGUAAACUCCUGUUGUUGAGGAAGAUAAUGACGGUACUCAACAAGGAAGUGACGGCUAACUACGUGCCAGCAGCCGCGGUAAAACGUAGGUCACAAGCGUUGUCCGGAAUUACUGGGUGUAAAGGGAGCGCAGGCGGGAGAACAAGUUGGAAGUGAAAUCCAUGGGCUCAACCCAUGAACUGCUUUCAAAACUGUUUUUCUUGAGUAGUGCAGAGGUAGGCGGAAUUCCCGGUGUAGCGGUGGAAUGCGUAGAUAUCGGGAGGAACACCAGUGGCGAAGGCGGCCUACUGGGCACCAACUGACGCUGAGGCUCGAAAGUGUGGGUAGCAAACAGGAUUAGAUACCCUGGUAGUCCACACCGUAAACGAUGAUUACUAGGUGUUGGAGGAUUGACCCCUUCAGUGCCGCAGUUAACACAAUAAGUAAUCCACCUGGGGAGUACGACCGCAAGGUUGAAACUCAAAGGAAUUGACGGGGGCCCGCACAAGCAGUGGAGUAUGUGGUUUAAUUCGACGCAACGCGAAGAACCUUACCAAGUCUUGACAUCCCUUGACGAACAUAGAAAUAUGUUUUCUCUUCGGAGCAAGGAGACAGGUGGUGCAUGGUUGUCGUCAGCUCGUGUCGUGA
rnacentral:rRNA from 1 species